rnacentral:rRNA from 1 species
UACGUAGGGUGCAGGCGUUAAUCGGAAUUACUGGGCGUAAAGCGUGCGCAGGCGGUUUGCUAAGACAGGUGUGAAAUCCCCGGGCUUAACCUGGGAACUGCGCUUGUAACUGGCAAGCUAGAGUGUGGCAGAGGGGGAUGGAAUUCCGCGUGUAGCAGUGAAAUGCGUAGAUAUGCGGAGGAACACCGAUGGCGAAGGCAAUCCCCUGGGCCUGUACUGACGCUCAUGCACGAAAGCGUGGGGAGCAAACAGG